UACCUCCUGUUAGACCUGUGCCUAGCUAACCACAUGUGUUUGGCCGUCUGCCGUCUCUUCAUGUUGGCCUCUGUGCACUAUUAUUAUUUUAUUUGGACUUCAGUGACAAGAAUAUGGCAUUUAUGAUCAUGUUCUUUUGUGCCUUCGUGGCCUUGUUGCUUUUUUCACAUUAGUGUUACAUGUUAAAUGAUCUCACCCCUACUGUUUAUACGUUAAGCACACAUGCUUCAAGUGUGUGCUGCCUUUGUCUACAUUGCCUGGACCGUUCUUGGCUCUGGCCUUUCUCAGCUGUCUUUAACAUGGACAAUCACAAGUCAUCCUCCACGAGGACUAGUGCAUUCUUAAGCUAUGCUGCUUCAGGGCCAGUGACUUGCUGAGCUUUGUGUUCAUGCUGGCCAUGUGUGCCACCUGUGGCGAGUUCUGUUGCCACUGCAGAAUGAAGCUAGCCUACCUGGUAUUGGCCAUCAGCCCAAACUGAUUGUUUCAAGGCCCUGGGGCCACCAGCCAAGGUUCCACCAUCUAUUGGAUCUCUGGCUUUGGCCAGGGGCAUAUGCUGCCCUACUGGAUAUGUGGAAAAGCACUUGACUGCUGGGCAUGGAUGAGGUUAAGGGUGAGAAGCAUAAUGCCAUGAGUUCUAUACCACUAUGGGUCUCUUCCUGCCUCUGGGCCCUUCUGAUGAACCUUCAUCAAGGUCUCACUUGUGCCCCAUCACUGUCAGGCCACUGAGAUUGCUUUUGGCCCCAGUUGGCUUCCCGGUCAAUGAGGACCUCAAGAACUGCCUGUGGACCAAGGCCCCCUGCCAGUGCAUGAGACACACACCUACUUUCCCCAAUCUUCCAGGAACCCUCCUGCCUGCCAGACUGAUGGGCGGGUAUGUGGACAUGUGCUCACUGUCAUCAUGCUGUGGCUCCAGGUGUGGCCUUGCAUAUGUGGAAGAUUGAUGCUAUAUGCUGCUUAUUUUGCCAUAAACAUGCACAGAAGUGGAGAGGAUGGUCCCUGGACCCUGGGUACCCAUCACCUAGCUACACCAAUUAUGAUCAACCUGGUGCCUUCCUCUCCCCACCUGUAUUGUUGAUGGAAAGUCCGACACUGUACCAAUUCAACCUUGACUACUUUGGGAGAUCAGGACUCUUGUGGUGGUGGUGGUGGUGGGGCACACUGUCAUGAUCACAUCAGGUCUGCUCUUUGUUUUGAGUGUUAAAUGAUGAUGUUCUAGAAAUGGCCUUUAGAAGUGAAAGUCUUCACGAUUAACAGGGAGUACUCAAAAAGAGAUGAAAAUAUGCUCCCUCUUCCCUGCAUCUGCAAAAGGAGAGAGACUUGUGUUGUAAAUCUUUCAAAGACUGAUAUGAUAAGGUGCUUACUUGAGACCCUUCACCAGAAUAUCAGUCUUUUUUGCCUGUAAAAGAUGGAGACUUGUGUGACUGUUAGAAGUACCAUCAGCGUGUCCUGGUCUCAUAAUAUAACUCUGGUCUUGAAAGUGAAUUUUGGAAAUUGUUGCUGUGUUCUGUAAAAAUAACCUCCCCAACGUUAUCAGUAACUGGUUGUCUUACUUGCUAAUUUGACACCCCGGUAAUAAUGCAAUUAUUCCUUUGUUCCUAAACAGUAUAAAUAGUUGUAAGUUUGCAUGCGUGGUGGAAAAAUAAAAGUCUUAUCUCUGUUAUAUAUUUUUUAUUUUUAAA
ensembl:lncRNA